GUAAAUCUUAGUGCCCUGUACACGGUAACUUCCCUCUCUUCAAAGAAGGAGUUGGCAGCGGCCUUUUAAUCCUGACUUGGCCUUGAAUUUUGGCUUUAUUUCUUGGCAUUGAAUCUUUAGCCAAGUGUCAAUGCCAAGAAACAAAGCCAAGAUUCAAAGGCAAGGUUCAGCUGGCUUGGCUUCAUAAGACCUCUUCGGUGCGGCCUCAGUUGAAUGGCGCUUGAAUAACGACCCCGGCAGUCCCAAUCUAAUGGCACCAGUUCCAGCACACGUCUUUUAUUUCCGUAACAACUUAGAAAUGGAAAGGAAAGUGGCUCAUGAAAGCUAAUCGAUCGAUAAAGGAACAAUGUAACUUGUUCCAAGAAAUAGAUACGUUGGCGGUGUGGGAAUAUGAAAACAGUGAAUCCACGUACUCAGUCUUCAUCAAGUUAGUCCUGUGGAAGCAGCCAUUGAAGUUAUCCGUUCAGUGAAGUUCCGAUUGUCGCUGAAACUAUCCAACCACUGUACGAGAUGGCUAUCGGCAUUCCGCGAGUGGAAAACUGUUGCUGUUGUUGUUCCCUCAAGUGUGGAAUCAUCGCUCUCUCUGUUGUGUUCAUGGUAUUUACGUUGAUGAAUCUUGUAGUGUCUAUUUUCAUUGUGGGUAGAGUUGGAGUCUCCAACCCUUCUAUUGAGGACGAAGGGGACCGUAAGUACCUAAUAACCUCCAAACUCCAGCCAAAGUAGGUUGUUGAUAACAAGCGUGUAACGCUAAUUCUCGAUCAAUGC